rnacentral:lncRNA from 1 species
ACUCCAAAUUGGUUGCUGGUCCCAAUGGAGGGUCUGCUGGGAAGCUCACUGUCAAAUACGAAACAAAAGGAGAUGCUGAGCCCAACCAAGACGAACUCAAAACUGGAAAAGCCAAGGCUGAUGCUCUCUUCAAGGCCAUUGAGGCUUACCUUUUGGCCCAUCCCGAUUACAACUAAUCCUCUUCAACUUACUUGUCAUCACUUUCUUGCUUGGAGACUUAUCCAAUCACUCUGUUCUCAACUUAAGUUGCCUUCCAAUGUAUCCAGUCUUUCCUUUCUUCUUUCCUUUUCCCAUAUAAUUGUGAGACUUAUGAUAUAUCUGUAUCUCACUUCAUCAAUAAUAAAUUAUAAUAAAGAUGAGCAAUCAUUACAACUUUUGUUUCUCUUAUGUUUACUAUUGCGAGUUUAAUAGUUUACACUUUUUUUUAAAAUGACACUUGUACGAAAUUGUUUCGUUGAUGGUUGAUUUUCGUAAAAAUUUAAUUAAUCACUUUUAAUGAAUUUUUUUCUUUUAAUUUAACUUUUUUCAUCUAUGAAAUUUAAAUCCGAAACAUUUAAGAUAUUCUAACUCGUUAUUCGGACUAACCACAUGUUAUUCUUGACUGAAUAUUUUGCUUGGAUUGUUGAAAAAUAUAACGUACCACAUCAGUUGGGAUGAAGAAAAGUGAAAAGUAUAUAUGUUUAAAACACUUUUUUGACAACUCCCACUUCAACUUGUAUACCAGACCAAUAACCAACACUUCUCACAUCGAGCUUAUGCUAAAAAUUCAAUAUGAAGUGAAACUUCUUGUUCCUCUGUAUUUUGCUUCUAAAAAAAACUCAAGAAUAAGUCCAAGCAAAGAACCAAAGGAGUAUGGUUUUAAGGUCUCUAAAGUACGAGCCCAAAAAAUAUACAAGUUUCAGUUGGGCAAAAAAAAAAACUUACCCAAUUGAACUUGAGGGAGAGCGUUGGAAAAUAUCAAGUCCCACGUCAGUUUCAUGAUUCUCAUCAUUCCCUCCUUCUUGGAAAACAUUUGUCCUCAAAUGUUCAGGAUCAUCACCGGGUUCAAGUACCACUUCCUUCCUUUUCUUGUGGGCUUGCUUGACAUAGCUUUCAUUCUUCUUUGCAAUUUGCACCUUCACUUGGUCAUACAAUCUUUUCACAUACUCAACUUUGGCAUGUGCAUCCUUACGUUGAGUCUCUUGGGGAUUGCUUUUGUAAGUUGGCUUGUUAGGCAAUGAAGCUCCGGGGAGGACAUCAACUUGAUGUUCUAUGCCUCUUGAAGGUGGUAGUCCAUGAGGAAUCUCCUUAGGAACGACAUUUUUAAAUUCCUGCAAUAAUGGUUGAACACUAGGAGAAAUAGAAAUAGUAAACUCAUUAGAAUUAUCAGUAGAAAUUUUACUGUCUUUGCAAUACUGUAGAUUGAGUGGUUCAUGAGCAGGUAACACUUUCCUCACUUCACUCGCCUCUGCAAAAUAAUUAAAUUUUCUCUCAUGUGUAUCACUCUUUUCCUCGGGUGUAUCACUCUUCUUUUUCAUAUUCCUUUGUGGAGCCUCACUAUUUUCUUUCUCUUGUUCUCUCUUUUCUCUCAUUCUGAUUUGGUCAUCACACACUUCUCUAGGGGAUAGAGGUUUAAGAGUAAACAAGGAAGAUUUGGUCAACAAACGUUGCAUUUGUGUAGUCCACGCGUCCAGAAAUAAGCGUUGAGAUUCAUCCAGUUGAUGAUAUACACCACCAUUGUCACCAGCUCUUGCCAUGAUUAAGGAACAAAGAAUUUUGCAGUAAAUUAAAAAAAAUUCAGGACCUCACCACACUCUACUCACGUGUUUCUCUCUUUAAUGGUAGUUCACUCGUGUUUGAUGCUCUCAAUAUAGGCUUUUGUGUGAUGUUUUCACUCUUGCCUUUUACCACUCACUCCCUCUUAAGUUCCUGGAUAGACCGAAUUAGACACACAAGGUAAUAUAAAAUAAAAGGAAAGACAAUAGAAUUAUCAGAGUAACAGAUUUGAUUUGGGAUAACAACUUGGACUUGAUUUGGAUAGCAGAUUGGAUUUGAUUUGGAUAACAGAUUAGAUUUGGAUAACAAAUCUGAUUUGGAUAAAUUUUUUUGAUUUGAUUUGAGUUGGAUAAUAGAUCAGAUUUGGGAUAACAAAUUAGAUUUAAUUUGGAUAACAGAUAUGAUAACAAAUAAGAUAACAGAUAGGAUAACAGAUAAGAUAACAGAUAUGACAACUAAACUUCAAAUGCUCAUAACUUUUGCUACGGUUAUCCGUUUGAGGCCCACUAUAUAUCAAAACGCUCAGAAUUCAGAGGAGAAUCUAGAUAAUGGGAUUUGGUACACGAUUUUCUGCCAAAAAAAAGCCUCUAACUGCCUCAAUUUCGUGUUCAAAGAUCAAACACCCACUUUCUCUUUUUUCUCUUUCUUCUUUUCUUCUCUUUUUUUUUUUCAAAAUUUCUGCAACUUUUUUUUUUUUUUUAUACUUGAAACAGAACCCAAACAAUUUUUUUUUGACACAAAGUCUGAAAGACACUAGAAACAAGAACAACAACAAGAACACAAACGUGACAAGAACAAGAACGAAACAAAGACACAAACAAGAACGCAACAAGACGCAAACAAGAAAAACAAAUAACAGAACAAGGACAAAACACGAACCAGGACAAAUUACAAAGAAAAAUAAUAGGAUAAGAUAGAACCUGUAUCAAGAGCCAAAGCUCUGAUACCAGAUGAUGUGAACCUGAGUAGGAGUGGAUCGCGUGAUACAGGCUGUAGAGUUUUUGGUUGACGCCACUUCCAGUGAAGGAAGAUAAGUCAGGGUAGACGCCACUUCCGAUGAAGGAAGAUAAGUCUGGGUAGACGCCACUUCCGGUUAAGGAAGAUAAGUCUGGGUAGACGCCACUUCCAGUGAAGGAAGAUAAGUCUGGGUAGACGCCACAAGGAUUACCUUGAUAAGUCUGAUAAUUGGUUCAACAAGGAACCCAGAGAGAAACUCUCACCCAAUUUUAUGAAAAUGCCAAAAGUUUUUUUAUUCAAAACAAAAACCCAUACUUAUAGUGUAGCUAAACAAAAAGAUAAAAAUAGACAUGGGCCUUUUAAACAGUUUGGGCCAAAAUUACAAUAAAAAUAAAUUAUAACUAAAAACUUAUUUAACUUGGGCCUUCAAAUUAGUUUGGGCCUUCAGCAACAAUUAAUAGUCUUGAUAGUGUCUCUGCCUCUGGGCCUUCAUCCUUCUCCACUUGGGCCUUCAUCCUUCUCCACUCGGGGGCUUUGUCCUUCUCCACUUGGGCCUUCGUCCUUCUCCACUUGGGCCUUUAGCCUGUAUUUGGCCAGUUUCAUGAUUCUCAUCAGUUGGAUGAUGAAAAUUGAAGAGUAUAUAUUUUGAAGUGUUAUGCCUAAAAACUGUCUAGACAUUCUUUUUUAACAGCCCAAUAACUGGCACGUACUUCUCAAAUUGGGCCUGUGCUAAAAAUUUAAGAAGGAUCAAAGUAAUUAAGUUAUAUUUAUAUACUCAAAAUUUAAAGUUAUAUAUAAUUAUAGUAAUUUAUAAUUGUAGUAAUCAACCAAAAAGUCACAAUUUAUAAAACAAUAUAUUGAAGGAAACACAAACAUAAAUUUACAAAACUUAACAAAAUACAUAACUAUGGUAAAACUGGUAGCUAACAUGAUAUAUUUAUAAAUUAUUAGCUUGGUAUAUUCUCAUUUUCUAACUAUUGAAUUUUCAAUCAUUAAAGAAGGAAAAAUCUUAUCUUAGCUUUUAAGUGCACUAGCUGCACUCUUUUUCUUUAAAAGAAAUAAUUCAAAAUAAUUAGUGAGUCACUUCAAUUGUACUCUCGCAUUUAAUGAAAAGACAUGUUUUAUUAAUGGAUCUUUUUCUGUCUAGGAUUCUCUUUAUUUUGGGGGAGAACACAUUUGCAUGUCAUAUAUGGCAUAUUUGAUCAGUAUAACUCCUUCAUCAAGUCUUAAAAAUUGCUCACCUUUUGAGCUUCUUUAUAAUUGCUAACGUGAUUUCUUUCUACUUAAGUUGUUCGGGUGCCUUGCUUUUGUUUAAAUCACCCCUUCCCAAAAGACUAACAUUUUCCUACGAACUUUGCCUUGCAUUUUCGUGGGCUAUCCCUUGGAGUCAAAGGUUUCAAGUUCCUUGAUCCUCAAUCAAAUAAGUUCAUCAUUUUCUCCAAUAUUAAAUUCAUAGAGUCUAGUUUUCCGCUUCAUUUUUGUUAGACAAAUGUAGGGAAUCCAUGGGUAGGUAAUAUCAUAUAUAGGCCCUGUUUAACUUAUAGAAGAAACUUAUUUUUAUUUUCUUCUUCUACGAGUUCAUGGAGAAAUUUACAAUAUGAUGUUAAUACUAAAAGACUUUUUUUUAUAUAAUAAUGUUAACACGACUAAUAUGUUAUCAAAAUUAUCCCUAAAAGAUGUAAAUUAACAAUUUAAACUAGCACAUGUAAUUAUUGUAUUUAGAAGGAUUUUAUUUUUAUAAAAUGAAAGAGUUCACCAUAAAAUAGGAUUCCGUCUUCAGACAAGUAACUGAUUAAUUGAAGUGAUAUUUAAUUCAAAAACAAUCAUGCCUUUCCAUGAUUAAUUCGAGGGCCUAGAGGAAAGAAGACCAGGAGGGUAAUUGGUCGUCAGCUUAGGGCUGCGCCUUCAAGGUAGAAAGAGGUUACCUGAAGACGCUCGUCCUUCAGGGUGCGGUGAAAGUCAAAAAACUGAGUGAUCUUGAAGAUCCAGGCCAGGGCAUUGGUACCAUCAAAUCGAGGUAUAUCAAGGUUCAUGUGUGGAGGGGAAGGUCGUGGUGACAUGGAUGGGGAAGAAACUUCGAGUGAUUGAAAACGAGAGAUAACCUUGUCGAGUCGGGAGUGAAGAGAGUUUUGGAUAGCGGUGAGGGUAUUUUGGUUCUGGGUGAGGAGGGUGACUGUCUCUUCUAGACGUGAGAGGGUGUGGCCACGAGUAUUGUCUGUCAUGGGAGGGUCAAUGAAAACACCGAUUGAUAAGGAUAGGAAUAUUCCUAAAUUGGAGGACAGGAAUCAACCUCCAAAAACAAAAAGUAAGAGAUAGAAUAGCUGAAAUUCUCAUUGUCUUCCUCUUGAUUCAUUACAACUAUUUAUAAGAUUAAAAAAAAAAAACAUAAACGCUAACAAUGCUGGAAAAAUAGGAGACAAGAUAAAGUCAAUUGUGAUCUUUAGGAGACAAGGAUCACGAAGCUGCAAAUCGUGCGUGAUAAGGCAAGCACGAUGAUGAAGGCACUACUCUGAAGGUAACUUUCCAAAAUUGUCCUUUUGGUAACUUGGCUGGUGCUAGACUCUUUAGUGAAUGUAUUCCUCCCAACUGAUGGGCCUCUUCAUGGUUCGCUUGGGUCGGGUUGCUUUAAUUUUUGGGUUUAGGCCCUGUUGAAUAUAAAAAAUAAUAAAAAUAAAAGUUUUUGUUUGCAUGAAAUGUAUUGGAUGAAGUCUAUUCCUCAACAGUUGACUUCUCUUAUUGAUGCUGAUGUAAUGGCUUUAGCCCAAUUUAUCUCAUAUUAGUAUUUUUAAAUUAUGAAAAAAAUUAACAAUAAAUUUAAAUGAGUAAAAAAAUGCNNNNNNNNNNNNNNNNNNNNNNNNNNNNNNNNNNNNNNNNNNNNNNNNNNNNNNNNNNNNNNNNNNNNNNNNNNNNNNNNNNNNNNNNNNNNNNNNNNNNNNNNNNNNNNNNNNNNNNNNNNNNNNNNNNNNNNNNNNNNNNNNNNNNNNNNNNNNNNNNNNNNNNNNNNNNNNNNNNNNNNNNNNNNNNNNNNNNNNNNNNNNNNNNNNNNNNNNNNNNNNNNNNNNNNNNNNNNNNNNNNNNNNNNNNNNNNNNNNNNNNNNNNNNNNNNNNNNNNNNNNNNNNNNNNNNNNNNNNNNNNNNNNNNNNNNNNNNNNNNNNNNNNNNNNNNNNNNNNNNNNNNNNNNNNNNNNNNNNNNNNNNNNNNNNNNNNNNNNNNNNNNNNNNNNNNNNNNNNNNNNNNNNNNNNNNNNNNNNNNNNNNNNNNNNNNNNNNNNNNNNNNNNNNNNNNNNNGCGUUUUCUAAUUAGUUGACAUUCUUUGAAAAUAGAACUUUAAUGUAUAAAAAUUAAACUUGUCAAAUAAUUCUAUCAAAAUUUGUUAAAUAUUUAAGCUUUUUAAAAAGGUUUAAAUACAAAAUCUAUUUUAUAAAUAAAUUCUAAUGAUAAAGAUUAAUUUUAUAGUAUUAUAUAAUAAUUUAAUAUAAAAAUAUUUCUAGUAUGUUUGGAUUGGCUUCACAGAUCCAUGGUUACCCACAUCUUCCCACGUCGAAGCUGAAACUCUAACAUGUAGCGUUGAGUUGGUUGCACGUAUUCCGAAUGUGGAUGCACUUCCAAAUUAACAUGCGCUUCAUUCCCACAAAUACAGCAAUCUGUCGUCAUGGAUGAACGUGGCAUUUUUUAAAAAACAUUUUGAACUCAUGUUUUUUUUAAUGAAUUUAUUUUUGGCUUAAUUGUAAAUUUAGUUUCUUUAUUUAUCUCAGGUUAGAAGUUUGAUUCAUUUAUAAUUUAAUUCACCAAUUAAAUCUUUUAAUUUUUUUUAAUUUAUUGUUUUAGUUUCCAAUCUUAAAAUUAGACAUUAAUUUUUAAUUAUUUAUGUUGAUCGUUAUGUUGUGUUGCUUUUAUUAAACAUUAAUUAGGUAAAUAAAAUUAAAGUAAAACACGUGAUUGUAACAUUCAAUAGAAAUAUGACAUAUCACAUGUGAUAAUUAAUAUUUAUCAAUGGAUGAAUUAAAUUAAAAGACUAAAUUUUUGAGUUAAAAUAAAUAGAGGGACCAAAUUUAUCAUUAAACCUUUAUUUUUCAGCAAUAGAAUGAAUCUUUAUUUCUUGUGGAUUGAAUUUGAAUGCUUCAAAAUUUGUAUAUUGAAUUUGAAUGCUUCAAAAUCUUAAUAGUAUUUGACAAACACAUAAAAUUUAUUAACAUUAAAAAAAAGUGAUUAAAAUAUUACACAGAUUAUGCAAGUGAAAAAAUCGACAUUUGAAAAUUGGAGUAGUUACUGAAAUAGAGACAAGAAAGACCGCCUAAAAUUAAAAGUCAUAUUCUUUUUUUUUCUCUGACAAUAUAUUCUUUUCUUAUUAUUCUUAAAAAUAUAUAGAUUUACAUUGUUUAAACAAAAUAUCACGUACAGGUAAAUACUUUAUAUAUUGAGUUUUUGUUAUCGAUCUCUUCAGAAUUCAUGCGUGAGAGAUGAUGAAUUUAGUGAUAAAAUUAAUUUUAUACGAAAAUGAGAAGAAUAAAUUCAAACUAUAUAAAUUAAUAUUGAAUUUCUUUUUUUAAAUCACAUCUAGAAAGAUUUUGUUUUUUGUUUUCAGAGAAAGAAUACUCUUGGUAAACUAAGAAGUAAGAACAACAACGUUGAAUCAUUGACUCAGCACCUUCAGACUAUGGUAUGGGGCGUACACACAAUUGUAGAGUGACGCCAGCGCAACUUUAGUGCUUAUAAAUAGAGGGCAUUCCUCUGCUAAAGAACCACACAGCAGCAAACAUCUCCUUCUCAAACUAGUAAUAUAUACUAUUAUUCAUCCAUUCCAUUCUAUAUAUUUCAUAAUGGGUGUUUUCACAUUCGAGGAUGAAACCACCUCUCCUGUGGCUCCUGCUACCCUUUACAAAGCUCUAGUUACGGAUGCUGACAACGUCAUCCCAAAGGCUGUUGACGCCUUCAGGAGUGUUGAAAACGUUGAGGGAAAUGGUGGCCCCGGAACCAUCAAGAAGAUCACUUUCCUUGAGGGUACUCUGUCACUCACUGUAUUCAUUUUAUUUACUAAUUCACUACUAUAUAUUUUCUAUUUUCUACCAUGAUAUGAUAAUAAAGCUGAUCUGAAUGAAUUGAUGAAUGCGGACAGAUGGAGAAACCAAGUUUGUGUUGCACAAAAUAGAAGCGAUUGAUGAGGCUAACUUGGGAUAUAGCUAUAGCGUAGUUGGGGGAGAUGGGUUGCCAGACACAGUGGAGAAGAUCACAUUCGAAUGCAAAUUGGCUGCUGGCGCCAACGGAGGGUCUGCUGGGAAGCUAACUGUCAAAUACCAAACCAAAGGAGAUGCUCAGCCCAACCAAGACGACCUCAAAAUUGGCAAAGCCAAGUCUGAUGCUCUUUUCAAGGCCGUUGAGGCUUACCUUUUGGCCCAUCCUGAUUACAACUGAUCCUCUUCAUCACUAUUCAGUCAGCAACGACCUUGCUUUAUAUUAUAUACAAGAGUUUUCUUGCCUUGUGUGGAGCUUUAUCCAAUCACUGUGUGUGGUGUGUGCUUAAGUUAAAAACUUGCCUUCCAAUUAAUGUAACGAGUGUUUCCUUUCUCAUUUCCUUUUGCCACAGAAUUGUGAGAGUCAGUUGAUAUCUUUGUAUGUGACUUCAAUAAAUUUUAAUAAAAGAAAGCAUCAUUUAAACUUUUGUUUGUUUUAUGUCUAUUAUAUAUAGUGAGUUUAUAUAGUUUUUAUUUUUUUAUUUUUUUAAAGAAUGAGUUGGAUGGAACUAUUAUUGAAAUUGGGCUGAAGUCAUUACAUCAGCAUCAAUAAGAGAAGUCAACUGUUGAAGAAUAUCCUCCAUCUAAUACAUUUAUUUCAUGGCUAAUAAAAGAUAAUUUAACUAAACUAUUCGCAUCAUUGUAACAAGAGACAGCUGAAUCCGUGUAAAUGAGGCUACUGCUAUAGGCUGCAAUCAGCAAUAAUACCCUGUAUAUAGCUUCUGAUUCCUCGGUCCCUUGUCCUCCAGUCAUGGAAAACAAUUUUGCAAUCCCUUUCAAACAUCACUUGUUGGAAACACAUUUCCGCUGCAUGCCUGCAACCUGCUUUGAACAACUUGUUUUGGAGAAAUCAUUAUUUAUCAUUUAAAAAGUAGGAAAAAUAUAAUAACUAAUCGUUCAGAAUAAGUUGAACCAAAUGCACAUAAUAACAUAAGUACUUAACAAUCUCUUGUGUAUAUAGUGGAAAACCACGACUAUUUUAGCAUUCGAUAUCACUUCAAUUGAUCAGUUAUUUCACUUAUUUGUGUGAAGAUGGAAUCCUUCUUUAUGGCGAACUCGAUCUCUCAUUUUACAGAAAUCAAAUCCUUUUAAAUGUACUCAAUGUGCUAGUUCAGAGUGCUAAUUUACAUCUUUUAGGUAUAAUUUCUAUAUCAAGUUAGACAUGUUUUAGCACUUUUUAUAAAAAAAGUGUUUUAAAAAUAUUAAUUGUUUUUAACUUUUUAGAUUGGUUUUAAGUGAGAUGUAUAAUCAAUUGAUAUAUAAAGUAAGUAUUUUGUAUAUCGAUUCCAAAACUAAUGCUAAAAUUAAAUGACUUUUGGUAUCAGUUAUAAUCAUGACAAAUAUAACUGAUAAAAAAAUAGGAAAAUCUAAAUUUUUAUUUCUUUUAAAAAUUAAAAAUAAAAUGUCAUGAAACAAACGACUUCCUUAAUACCGUACAUUCUAUAUUACACAAAUAUUUUUCACCAAUUGCUACACUUUCAAAUAUUCUUACUUAAAAUUUAAGCAUGAAGCUUGAAUUUAAAUUUAAGUUUUAAAUUUAGAAUUUCGACACAGUAGGUUUGGAUUUUGUACAACCUGGUUGGUAAGAAAAACUGUGAACCGUCAACUGUUAAGUAUUUGAGAAGUGAGAACAACUAGAAGUGAAUAUCAAUAAAGAGAACUGUGUUGCCGUGAAAAUGAUUUUAAAUAAACAAAAGUUUUAAUUAAUUUUUGAAAGACAACCUUAAUGGGGAUGUGACCAAACAUUAAAUAUAGAAACAUCUUUAAAAAGAGUUUCGAACGUGCGUUCACAACGUUAUGAAAUAUUAGAUCCAUUUGUUAUACUCAACUUUCGUUGAUUAUUAAAAUUAAUUUUGAAGAAAAAUAAUGAAUGCUUGAAUAUUUUUAUUCUUAAAAUAAGUUAAUAGUAAAAUUCAAUAUAAUUUUUUAUUUAAUAAAAAAUAUAUUUAAAAGUAACUUGAAUUUAAAAUUUAAUUUUCAACAUAAAAUCAAUUUAUUAUCGUCAAAACUAAUACGUGAAUAAAAUUUUCCUAAAAUUAUAUUAUAUUAGUUAAUUUUUUUAAUGUAAUUUUAGAUGAACGAACGUGAGACGCACUUGAUCCUUUGAAGAUUGGAGAGUCGAACGUGGCUUCCAUUAACAAUCUUCAGGAACAGUUGCAUUUGAAAUAUUUGUGCUGAUGAUAUCUUAGCUUAUCCGUUGGUUUAAUUUUUUGUCAUACGAAAGCUCUCUGUUGUCUAAUAUUUUUUUUUUCUUUUUGGCCGGCGUCAUUUAUCAAGUAUUGAAAAUAUUUGUAUUUUGAAUAGAAUUAUUUUUAUCUACCCAUCAUAAUGAAGACCAAAGUUUAUCGUCAAUAGUCAAAUGCGUGAACUAUAUACAAUCAAUUUAUUUCUCCGUAAUUACGUGUGACCGACACGAGAUUCGGUGCCGCAUAGACUUUCAUGUUUGAUCCACCAUUCUCUAUCCAUAUUUAAGAGUCAAUGCCGUGGCUUGUGUGGAUUUUUCUUUUCUAUUUUAAUUUUAAUAGUAUUUCACUCAAUGCAGUAGGAAUCAGGAAAAACUAUUUAUUUUUAUAUAAUUAAAAUUUAUGAUGAAUCAUUAUUUUUAAAUAUACAAAUUAUAACAAAUAAUUUAUAAAAAACAUAUAAUUAAAUAUUUAAAUUUAUGAUCAACAAUUUAAAUUGUGAUAUAAACUUAUUUUUAAUUACAGGUAAUUAAAAAACCAUUAAAAUUCUAAUGGAGAUAUUAAAAAUAAUAUUUUUCGAUUUUAGAGACUAAUUUUUUUUUAAAAAAUUAUUUGGACUUUGGAGGACUAAAAUAAAUAGAUCGGACAAAAAACAUAAAUCAAAAUUAAAAAAUUGAAACUGAAAAAAGUAAUUAAAAUAAUUUUUAAAUUUUUCUAUAAAAGUUUAACCUUAAUUAUAAACUAAAACUUGAACCACCCAAAACAAAAUUUCCAGGUUUAAAAAAACUAAGAUUUAUAUAAAAAUAUCAUAUAAACAUGAUCAUUUAUUUAAUUAUAUAUUUAUAGAUUACUUAUGAUUUUUAUAAAAUAUUUAUAAUUUAAUAAACUAAGUUAAUAUAAAUGUACUCUUAUAGUUAUUAGCUAAUUUUUAUCACGAUCAACUAAUUUAGUCACUCUCUCACACACACACACGCAUUUUUUUAUAAUAUAAAUUUUGUUAUUUUUUUCAGCCUUAAUUUGAUCCACCAUUCUCUAUCCAUAUAUAAGUGUUUUUGUCGCUAGCAUUUUGGCAUUUCAAAUUAUUUGCAUUCAUAACAUCAUAAAUAUAUAAUCACAAGUCGAAUUAGAUAAAUAUACUCUUCGCCAACAAGAUUUGGUUUAGUUCUAAGUUUCUUUUUAAGAAAAUAAAUUGAAACUUUUAAAUUUUAUUAAGAAAUAUUUCAGGUUACCUUAUGAGGUCUCUUUGGGCUAUGCAAGCCUUGAGAAUGUUUCAGGUUUGAAGUUGAAGUGGGCGUAUGCAUUGCAUGGGAAUUGGGUCAUCUAAUAUGGCAAGUUAUGAGUCCAAACUAAAACCAAUCAUGGCACCUAUGAGACUAUGACUUCAACUAAUCGCCAAUAACAUAGCACCACCAAUCACCAUGGAAUCAUGUUCAAAAAUUAAUUUGCAGUUCUUGAAGUAUUCCUAAAACGAACAAGAAACACGUUGGUUCGGUUUUCACUUUCAGGAUUUUCUCUGAAUAACAAAACUUGUCAUGGUGUUUAUAUUUAUUCCGUUUAUUUUGGGACAGAUAAUUAUGUGCUUCUGGCAUUAUUAAUUGCAGCUUUGGUCUUUUAAUUCCAACUUGUUUCUAGAUUUGCUCUGAAGUGAAAUUCGACACUUCAAUUACACUGAUUUGAAUAGAGAACCUUAUUCUUCUAUGCGUGUAUCUGUUAAGUUGGUAUUUAUGAUUCCUACAUUAUAACUAAGCAAUUGUACUUGUACUUAAUUGUGUUUGAAAUAUAUAUACAAGUGCGUGUACAGCAAAGAAUACACGUCAGAAAUUCUACAUGAUAUUACUCCAUAAACUCAUAUAUAACUAAAAAUUAUUAAUCCAAUUUCAUACUAAUUAAAAAAUUUAGUUUAUAUCAUUUAAUUUUAUUAAUCUCAAAUAAAAUAAUAAUAAUUUACAUUAUCAAUCAAUAUAAAGAAUUUUACGUACCUUAUCAAUCAAUUAUAAAUAUAUGAUAUUUAAAAGUAAUUAUUACGAUCAACAAAUUUAUCAAACAAUUUUUUUAACCAAAUAACUUUAUCAAACAUGACAAUAUCUUAAUCAAAAAUAAUGUAACUUUUUUUACACUAUUAAUACAUUUUAAUUCUUACAUUUUACCUAUAAUCAAUUAUUUAUCCUUUUAAUUUUGCUAACACCAUUAAUGCUAAGAAUACAAAAGUAGUAUAUCCAAUAAUCUUGUUCUGAUGUAUAUAGUAAUAAUAAAUUUGAAUUUUCUAUAAAAAAAAACAUUUGGAAAGUCGUUUGAGUGAUGCCUUAAGCGUAUGUGCACCACAUAUAUAACCGGGAUCUACUUUAAUAUUCAUAUUUUAAUUGAGUUUAAUUAAUCAUUUGAUCCUUAUAAUUUCAUUAUUUAUAUAUUUUAGUCUAUAUAAUUUUAAAAUGGUUUUUUAGUUUUUAUAAAUUUUAUUUUAAUUCUCUUUUAGUUUAUAUAAUUUAAAAGUGGUUUUUUUAGUCCUUAUAAUUUAUAUUUUAAUUUUUUUUUAGUUCUUAUAGUUUGAAAGUGAUUUUUUUAGUCUAUAUACUUUAUAUUUUUUUUUUUUUUAGUCCUUACCAUCAAAAUACGAGUAAUAUUAUCAAUUACAAUUAACUAUAAAAAUAUUAACAAAUAAUUUGUAACUAAUUUAUCAUAAGAUAAUUUGUAAUAAAAAAAUAGUUGAUAAUUUAUAACUAAUUUUUAGCUAAUUAUAUAUAUAUAUAUAUAUAUAUAUAUAUAUAUAUAUAUAUAUAUAUAUUAGUAAGAACUAAAAGGUAAUUAAAAUAUAAAUUAUGGAAACUAAAAAGAUCACUUUCAAAUUAUAUGAACUUAAAAAAGUAAAUUACAAAUUAUAAGAAUUAAAAAAACCACUUUUAAACUAUAAAGACUAAAAGAGAAUUAAAAUAUAAAUUAUAGGAAAUAAAAAAAUCACUUUCAAACCAUAAGAACUAAAAUAUACGAAUUAUAUGAAACUAUAGAAACCAAAUGAUAAUUUAACCUUUUAAUUAUAAGUUAUGGGAUUAAAAAAAUGGUUAAGAAAAGAUUUAGAAUCAUUUAGAAGACGUUAAUUAUAUAUAAUAUUUUAUUAAAAAAUGUUAUAUAAAAGAGUAAAUGUAUUUAUAUCUUAAAAAUAUAUAAAAAAAACAGAUUUUCUGUGAGAAUAAAAGAUACCACUUUUCUUUUAUUGGUCUAUAUUAAUGAUUAGUUUUUUGUUUUUGUUAGUAGAAGAAUUCAAUUCAAACUUAUGAUCUAUUCUCUUUCAUUUUUCGCUCAUUGUAAAUCUUUAUAACCCCGUAAAUCAUUCAAAAAUCAAUAUUUUUUAUUUAGUAAUUAGGAGGAUUAUUAAUAACAAUAAUUAAAGGAUUUAAAAUAAUUUUGAAAUCUCCCUGAUCAAUUUAACAAUUAUAAAUAAAUCCUAAAUAUCUUUAAUAUUAGAUACUUUUUAUUGAAUACAUUUUAUUAAAUAUGUAAAAAAUAUUAAGAAGAUAUAAAUAAAAUCAAAGAAUGAAUAGAAGAGCUCGUGAGUCAAAGUUAAUAAUAGAUGGUGAAAAGGGGCUAGCAUUAAGCGUUCGAAAUUAUGACUUAGAUAGUAAUGAUGGAGUAGUAUUUAACGUGUUUGAGGUAAACAAUUUAUUAAGGAUUUUCCUAAUAAGCAUUGACUUUGAUGUGCUUUAAUGAUUCUAGGUUUGAGAUCUCCUACAUUGACCAGUACGUAUUUUGGUGUGCAUGAGAUGUCGAAGAAAUUAGGUGAGUACCUCAGAAGACAUUCUAAUAACAAUCAAUAAGUUAUUAAGAAUUUUACCAUAACCAUGAUCACGAUGGAUAAUAAUGAUACUGGCUCACCGUAAAAUUUGUCAAUGAGCUAAGAUGUUAGUCACAUAAUUCUGUUUUUAACAGUUCUAAACUAACAUGAUUAUUGACUCUCCUAAGUCCUAAUAAUCACGUUCUCGAUCUCUUUCUUAUUCCUCAGUGGAUUUUUUUUUCUUCAUCAACCAUUAAAGAGUUGACGACAAUGGCCGAAUAACAAGCAGGCUUAUCAAUUAGCAGCAGUCCAAAAUUUAAAUCAUGGUACUUAAAUUAAAAAUAACUGAUAUUUGUAAAGAAAAAUAUAGAAAACCUUGAUUAACCUAAUAUAAGAACAAUGAAAAAAAAGUUUAAUAGUGAACUCAAUAAAAGUUAAAGAUGCUACAGAAAAAAGCAAAAUAAAAAAAUAUCAUGUCUAAAACUAACCUAAUGAACCUAUAUAUAAUUUGGGUUCACAUAAUUUUUAACUUAUAAAACUUGUAAUAUAAUCCUUUUAAAUUGAAAUUUUACUUAGUUAACUUAAGCUCUAUCAUUUUAUAUUGUUUUGCUUUGUAAUGAUAUAUAUGUCAGUUCAAACCUAAUUCAACUACAACUGAUUCAUUAAAUUGUAAAGUAGUAUUUUUACGGGUUUAAAAACACGUAAUUACAUACUACUCUACACUACUGUAAUUUUUUUUGUAGAAUUUUUUUUUCCAAACUUAAAAUGACUUAAUUGAGUUCUAUUUGGUUUACAUUGAAAAUCAAUUUCUCUCAUAUAUCAUUAUAUAUGUUUUAAUGUAAAAUGUAUUAAUAAUAAAAUUAUUUUAGACAAACAUAUCUCAACCACAUUUAAUGAUUUAAAAUUAAUUUUAUUAUAAUUAAUUCUUUAUUAAAAUUUAAAACAACUGGACACUUAUAAUGGCAUGUAAAGGAGCUAGCAUAGCUAAUUAACCUUCGUAUCAUCGUAUGAACACCAUAUUACGCUGGUCUCACUGAUUUAGAACUAGGUUCAUUAGGUUAGUAUUGGACAUGAUAUUUUUCAUUUUGCCUUUUUUUCGUAGCAUCUUUUUUUUUUUUUUUAAUUGUGUUCACUAUUACUUUUUUUCAUUGUUCUUGGAAUUGUUUUAAUCAAAGUUUCUAUGUUUUCGUUGACAAAAUUCUCAUUUUUAAUUGAAGUACCUUGAUUCAACUUUGCUAUUCAACCCUUGUAUUCUUGUUGGGUUCUACCGUUAUAGACUCGAUGGCAUCAACUUUUUAAUGGUCGACCAUUAAAAAAAAAAAAAAUCCACUAAGGACUAGAAAAGAGAAAAUGAGAUUAUUAGGAGAGUCAAUAGUCAUGCACUCAUGCUCGUUUAUAACCGUUAAAAAUAGAAUUACGUGAGUAACAUCUCUGACGCAUAGAGUGACAAAAAUUAUACGUGAGCCAAUAUAAUACAUUUUUAUUUUAAAAAAUAAUUUUUAAAUCAGAUUAUUUCCUUUUAAGAUCAAUAUAGAACAUGCUACAUACUCGAUUAAAGAACAAAAAUAGAAUACCUGUAAAUAACUUACUAAAAAUAAUUAAAUUAAUGAUAUUAAUCUACAAUAGCCAAUGUCAAUGCAUAUAAAUUAGUGUAUAUCGUAAAAUAAUUAUUACCAAUUUAAUAUCCAAUUUUAGCUUUAAAAUUUCAUAUAAAAUUAUUUUUAAUUGAUUUGAUACAUAUGAACCCUCUACUUUUGAUUCUAAUAUCAAUUCUUAACUAUUAAACUAAUAGAUUUCUUUGACAUAUACGUGAAAAUUAUAGUAUAUCUAAGUUAAAUGGUGGCGAAAAUUGUACAUAUAUUUACGAAUACUAAAUAAGUACAUUUCUAUUUAUUAUAUAUGUUUUUUUAUUAAUAAUGUAAUUGAUAAAUUAAUACUAACAAUAUUAUUACCAAAAAAAAUGUUAAUAUAAUGUGUUAAUAUGUUGUGAUACCAAAAGCCAACUUAUGGUUUAGAUACUCUUGAAAACUAAAAGCCCAAUAGUAUUGUAUACUCUUUGUUUUUUUUUUUUGGAAACACAAAAAGGACAAAGGUCCAAAGAAAAUUACAUAAUGAUCCUACAAGUGUUACUUACUUCACUCUCAUCUCUAGAAAGCAACUCUCUUAAAAAUAUAGACUGUUGGUAAAAAAUCGAUUGCUCUCCGUCCAUACUACAAGCAUAGUCUGCUAAUUCAUAUAUUGUAUACUCAUUUUUAUAUUAAUGGCAAUAAUAAUAAUGAGUACAAAUUAAUAGAAUUAUGUGUAACUUUAAAUCAAAUAUAUGAAUAUCACUUGCUAGUUUUGUCCCUCAAAAUAUUUAGUCAGGCUUGGUCACUGCAAAAUGGUGUCCUUAAAAGAAAAAACCUAGCAUAUGCUUCAAUACAUCACAGAAAAAAUCAAAUUCGUUGCUAGAAAUAUUCAAAACAGAACAUGUUCAUUGAUUUAGGAAUGCAUAAGAGCACUAAAUUCUCCAACCUAAGGAGUGCACUCUCAUGCUGCUUAACCAAUCACAAAUCCAUCGCUUUAACACAUACAACAGAUGAGUUCGAAUCCAUCGCUUUUGAGGUAACCAUGAUGAUGAUGGUAACAAAAAUAAAAUCGCAAGAAAGUACUACACCAUAUGUUUCAUCACAUUAAUCUCAAAGAUGGGAAAAUUAGAGCCCCCAAGAAGGCAACUCCCUGACAUUCACACAUUCCCAAUUCAUACAAAAUAUGAACUAAAAUAUUAAAAACAUCUGCAUUCAUUAAUAUCCAAAUAAUCCGACAUGCCACCACAAAGAGAGAUCCAUUAGUGUCACGAGGAUUUACUUGAAGCUAAUCACGUGAGCUGAGAGAAAAAAAAAUCGUUUCUGAGCAAAUCACAGCACUUCACAAAUUAGUCUUAUUCUAUAGCCACUGGUUUGUACUUUUAGCUGAGUCAGUACCACAUCAGCAAAAACCCAUCAAUAAAGGUGCUCUUCAUUUUCAUUUGGAUGUCCUUGAGCUGUAUCAAACUAUCUUCUAUGUGAACAUAGGGAAUCAAACAUAGAAGUUAUGUUAUGUUCAUCUAGCCACUUAUUAUACAUACUGACAUGACACCUCACCUUUCCUAUUUCUGAUUUAUAGGAGCCUUAACUUUGAGAAUUGAUUUCCAUAUGUACUAGCAACAUUGGUUGAACAUUGAGGAUAUGAAUACCAUCCAAAUAUUUGUAAUAUAAAAAAUUUCACCCACAAUGUCUUGCUUAUGCUGAAUAUCCAAGGGGGUAAAGAACCAUAAAGAUCUUCACCAAUGAACCACAUAAAACAUUAGAUUUGCACAUCUUUCUCACUUAUAUAUUACUCAACUUGUCAAUUUCUACCCAAUGUGAUCUUUACACUUGAAUUCCUACAAAUUUGAAUAAUUUUCUUCAUUAACUAAGUCUUCAUUUACCAAAAAAUACGGGGAAAAAAAGGAAGAAAGAGUUAGUUAAUUGCUUGCUUCGUUUUCUUUGCUUCUUCUUUAGCCACUGCAUAUUUCCUUGAUGGCAGCUUCAAGGUAAAUGAAGACUAAAAAAUACUUCAACUUGCGGAUAAUAAAUUAAUAAUACCUGAUUUUCUCGGCAUACCAAGGUAAGUAAGGAACUAUAUUUUGACUUUCUGAGUCUGCAUUGUAUGAAUCCGAUUUAUUCAAGUCUAUAAUGUUGGCAAAUGACCUGAUUUUGCCAAUAGUCGCCUAUGUGAUCGAUGGCAAUAAGAUUGAAUAACAGCCUUGAUUGGUCCAUUUUUGGAAGGUUCAUAAUUUCGAGAAUUUUUUUUUUUAAAAAAUCUUAUGAAAAUAACUAAAAAAAAAGUUGAAUGAAAGAUGUAAUUAUUUCUUACAAAAAACGCAACAUCUUAGGUCUUAGGUCUUACAUUGAAAAUUCCCUUUGAAAGCCUUCAAAUAAGAAAUUUCCCAGAUCGACCAUUGUUAACUGCCAAGUAAAUGUCCAUUUUAGGUCUUAACUUCCAAAUUUAUCCCAUUAAAGGGCUCAUAUUCCACGAAACAUAAUUACUACGAGUAGUGCAUAUAUAGGGAGGGAUUGCUGGACCUAUAAACACCAUAGUCUGUUCCGCGGGAUAUAUAUUCACAACUUUGAUUCCAUGUAAAUUUUGCAGUCUACAGAAUUUACUAUUGGAGUCACAACCUUUACACAGGAAUACUCCUUUGUUGCGCACGUGUUCAAUGUUAUAAUGCAUACCAAACAAAAUAUACUCAGUGUAAAAUUUUUAUAUUAUCAUUAAAAUAUAAAUUGACAUAUGAUAAAAUAAUUUAACUUUAUAAUUAUUAUUUUAAAUUAUACUAAAGUUGCUAAUUUUUUUGUAGAAUUACAUUUCAUUUUUUAUUUCAUUAAUAAGCAUAACAGUAUCCAUUCCAAAAAAAUAAAACAAAAAAGGGGGUCUUCUUAUGUGACGCCAUUUGCCGUGUCACAAUUGAUACCGUUAUGUAAUAUGUAUGCAAACCUCUUUCUUAUAUUGACGAAUGGUUAAACAAUUGCCUGGUUUGUUUGCUUGCUUCAUUUUUCUCUGUUUUUCUGUAGCCACUGCUCGUUUCUUCAUUGGUCAAGGUAAAAAUAGUUCUACUUUUGAUAAAUAACACAUUAAGGUAGGUAUGGAACUAUUCUUUUUUCUUUUUCUUUUAACCAAGGUAUUCCUCACAGGUAUUUUUUUCAUAUACCAGUCAAGUAUCAAACUCAUGAUUAUAUGUUUAAGAAAUAAGUUUAUCUACGGAUUAUGUCACACUAUCUUGGUGGUAUGGAACUAUUCUUAUCCUGAAUUGUAUGCAUCUAAGUCUAUCAAAUGUUGGCAAAUGGCCUCCCGUGUGUGGGGCCAUAAGUUUGAAAAUAAGCUUAUUUAUGAAACAAAAUAAAAACAUGCAGCAGCCACAGAGAUUGUAGGUCUUCAAAUAAGAAAAUUCCCAUUGAUCAUUCUUAACUACCAAACUUAUCCCAUUCUAUUAAAGGCCUCAUUUCCACGAAACUCACUUCAUAUAGGGGCUGCUGGACCUAUAAAACACAAGUCCUUCCCUCUUGAUCUAGCAUCAUAUCUACAUUCACUACUUUGAUUCCCUGAGGUUUCUGCAAUCUACAAAAUUCACUAUGGGAAUCACAACCUUUACACAGGAAUACUCCUCCUCUGUUGCCCCAUCACGCAUGUUCAAGGCCUUGAUUGUAGACUCCAGAAAUUUGCUUCCAAAGCUCUUACCUCAGUUUGUAAAAGAUGUGAAUGUAAUCCAGGGUGAUGGUGAAGCUGGAAGCAUUGAACAAGUUAACUUCAAUGAAGGUUAGCAAUCAAAUUAACAUGAACUAGCUAAAUUGAAACAGGAUCACUUCUCCAAAUUUCUUGAAUUAACUUGUUACGUAUUUAUUUUUUUCAGAUAACCCCUUCAAAUAUCUGAAACACAGGAUAGAUGUGCUUGAUAAGGACAACUUGGUUUGCAAAUACACUAUGAUUGAAGGGGAUCCAUUGGGUGACAAGCUUGAGUCUAUAGGUUAUGAGGUGAAGUUUGAGGCUACUAGUGAUGGAGGUUGCCUCUGCAAAAUGACAAGCAAUUACAAUACCAUUGGAGAGUUUGAUGUUAAAGAGGAAGAGGUAAAGGAAGGAAGGGAAAGUGGUAUUGCAGUUUACAGAGUUGUGGAGUCAUACCUGCUAGAGAACCCACAAGUGUAUGCUUAAUCAUCUAUUUAUUUAUUGUGUCAUGUAUCAUAAGAUAUACAAACAUAUUCAAAUUUUUAAUAGCAGUGUGCAACCAAAUAUAGGGUUGUUUAGAAUGGUUGCAAAGACUUGAAUUCCUUAAUAAGUCCUUAUUGUAUGAACAGCAAAAAAAUGGCGAGUGGUUUGGCAAAAAUAUUUGUAUUUUGGUAGUAACAAAGAGUCCAAGAGUAGUUUUUUUUACCUUUACUUCAUGAAUUCCAAUGUACUUAAACAAAGAAGCAACAAUUCAUUUCUGUGUAAACGUGUGUUUGGAUGGUUGUAAACAGAAAAACAAACAAACGCAAAGACUUUAAUUUGAAUCACAAUCAAAUGAGCUAAUAAUACACUAAUGAUAUUGACGUCUUGGAUGUACAAGAGGUAAGUUCAUGAUUAACAUAAUUCUCUUCUGCUUCACAGCUGGAAUGAGGGAUUAGAGGUACCAAAAGAUAAAUUUCAGUAUUUUAAAUUUUCUUCACCUUUUUGUCAUUUUGGGUUUCUCACUUUCUAUACCUUUCAACCGUAAACAAACAAAAAAUAUGGUUAUUCAAGGCAUGCAUAUAGCCAUCUGUAUAUUUCUCAAUUACAAACUUCAGAGUUCAGACUAAGACAUUUCCCUUCUUGCUCUUUAAAGACGGGCAUGUCCUGGGCAUGGCAUUUCUACCAAAAAGGAGGGUGAAUGUUACUUGACCCACCCUGUAAACUAAUGUUUCAUUCUGAAUUCUUAUUUGCUGUUCACUUUGGUAUAGUAGAAAGGUAAGGAUUGAUUAUAUUAUUCAUAUGUGAAGCAACAUAUUUAUAAAACAUAUGCAAAACAGACUGCUAACAGAUAAAUAAACCACUAAUAGUUCAUGCAUAAAAAAUAGGAACAGAAUAGAAUCAUCCUAUCAAUUAACAUGAAUUUUAAUUUUUCCUAAAAAAUAGCAUAAAAUCUGAUCUUCUAGAAUUGAGUUUGUUACACUUCCAACAGUUACAUCUUCAACACUUCUAAUCAUUUAUCAUGUAGUACUAGGCCCUUGGAGUCUUUUUAAGACCAUAUAAGUCCUUUUUCAACUUGUAAACUUUCUUUUCCUCUCCUUUGAUUUGAAACCCCUUAGGUUGGUCUACAUAAAUCUCAUCUUGCAAGUAACCAUUUAGAAAAGCAGAUUUUACAUCUAAAUGGUAAACUUUCCACCCUUUAUGUGCAAUCAAGGCAAGUAGCAUUUUGAUUGUAUUGAGGUGUGCAACUGAAGCAAAUGUUUCUGAAAAAUCAACUCCAAACACCUGAGCAUAGCCUCUCACCACCAGCCUAGCCUUGUGUUUAUUUAUAGAAUCAUCUAAAUUGAGUUUGGUUUUAUAAACCCAUUUGAGACCUAUAGGGUUGCUUGUGUUGAGAUCUGUCCACUAGCUCCUAAGUGUCAUUUUUUUAAUCAUCUUCAGCUCUUCCUUCAUAGCAUUUAUCCACUUGUCAUCCUUCUCAGCUUCCUCAAAUUCUGGAGGUUCUAAGACAGCCACAUUACACCUUUGAUAGAUCUUAGAUAAAGGUCUUGUACUUCUGAUAGGAAUGUCAUCUACAUGAUCAUCAAAGAAUUGUGGGGUUUCUGGAAGCUGCUUGCUUAUUGGCUUCUCCCAACUCCAUUGUUGAUCUUCCAUGAACUUGACAUCUCUACUCACAAGAAUUUUUUCCUUUUUGUGGUUGAAAAUUUUUGUAAGCUUGGGAAGUGUCAUUGUAUCCAAUGAAAACUCCAGGUUUUGCCUUCUAAUCAAAUUUGUCUCUUUUAACCUGUGGAACAUAAGAGAAACAAACACAACCAAAUAUUUUUAGAUUUUGUAAGUCUGGUUUGUACCCAAACCAUCCUUCAAAUGAGGGUUUUUUUGUUCAAAAAUCUGGUUGGAAGCCUAUUCAACAAGAAUAUAGCAGUGUUUGCAGCCUCUGCCCAUAACUUAUUUGGCAACUCCUUUUCAUGAAGUAUACAUCUUGUCAUCUCCAUGAUGCUUUUAUUUUUUCUCUCACUUACACCAUUCUAUUGUGGAGUGUACGACACAAUUAGUUGGUGCUCAGUGCCAGUUUCUUCACAAAACUUAUCAAAGAUAUCACUUAUGUAUUUCUUCCCAUUAUCAUGCCUUAUUAUUUGCAACCUACAACCACUUUGAUUCUCCACCAAUGCUUUAUAUUUCUAAAAAAUACUAGCAACCUCAAUCUUGGAUUUAAAGAAAUAAAUCCAAUAAUAUCUAGUAUAAUCAUCAAUAAAAGUAAUAUAGUAUUGAUUACCAUUUAAAGAUGAUACUCUCUAAGGUCCCUCAACAUAUGUGUGAACCAGCUACAACCUUUGAGUUGCUCUCCAAACUAUUUGAGGAAAUGGUUUUCUAACUAGCUUACCAAGGCAUGUUUCUACAUGUAUAAUAGUCCAAUAAGGUGGAAAUGUCCAAGUCUUUUGUGUUAUAGAUCAGAUAGGUGGUUGUGCUUGAAAAAGUUAUUUGCUCCUCCUCCAUAAGAUUUAGAGCAUAGCUUUUAGCUUUCAUUUUCACCCUGCAUACAUCUUUGUCUUUUACAUCUUUGAUCAAGCACCAAUUGUCUUCAAAUAUGACUUUGAAUCCCUUUUCUACUAGCUGUGCAAGACUGAGCAAAUUUUGGUCAAUAUCAGGCACAUACAAGACAUCAGAGAUAUGUUUUAGACCUACCAAGCUUUCAAUAGCAACAAUCCAUUUUCCCAUGACUAAGAUGAAAUCACCGUUUCCAAUUUUUACUUUGGAAACAAUGGUUUUGUCCAACUCUUUGAAGAGCUUUUGGUCGUUGGUCAUGUGAUUUGUGCAGCCGUUGUCUAUCAACCAUGAAUCACUGGAAAUGUUGCUUGUAGAAAAGCAAGUUGCAACAAAGAGUUGUUCUUCUUCUUGUUCCUCCACAUUCUCCUUUACCUCCUCCAAUUUAGACUUGCAAAUUCAUUCUAUAUGUCCCAAAUCGCCACAUUUUCUGCACUUGAUAUUCGACCUCCACCAACAUUUUCUCUAGGGAUGGUUUGUCCUUUUGCAAUGUGAACAAGGGGGAAAAGUCUCACCUUGCUGCUUGUUGGAGUCUUUUGAAUUUUUGUUCUUCCAUUUGUUGUUCUUCUUCUCUUUGCCACCUUUUGAAUUUUGUGCUUUUGCAUGAAAAGAACCUUGCAGAGCCUCCUCCUGUCUCAUCAUUCUUCUUUGCUCUUGAACCUAUAAAACACUUACCAAUUCUCCCAAGGUGAUGGUUGAAAGAUCUUUUGCUUCCUCCAACACUGAUAUCUCUAAUUCAUACUUUUCAAGUACAACAACCAUAAAUUUCUGCACUAUUCUUUCAUCAGAAAAGUCAUUCCCAAGAAGUUGCACUUUGUUUGCUAUGCUUAACAAUCGGUCAACAUAGGCUUUAAUUGUUUUCGUCUCCUUCAUCCUCUGCAUCUCAAAUUCUCUACUUAAGUUGAGCACUUUCAUGCCUUUGGUUCUUUCAAAGUCAUAGUAUUCUUUUUUGAGAUAAUCUCAAAUCUCUUUAGCAGAUUUGAAAUUCAUAAUUCUUGUAAAAAUAAUUUUUGACAGCAAAAAAAGGAAAAUUCUAGUCUUAGCCUUUUUUGUCUUCUUCUCCUUAUGAUUCUUCAUUUGAGCCAUUGUUGAAUUUGUAGGCAAUUCAGGAACAUCAUAAUUUUCUUCUACUGCCUCCCAAAGAUCCAAUGAUUCAAGAUGACUGAUCAUCCUUGUAGCACAUAACUCAUACUCCUUACCAUAAAAAAUUGGUGGUGGACCCAUUGUGUAUGUCUCUCCCUCCAUUAGUGUUUCUCUCAACUCAGAGAUCCCUCAAAGAUAAAAGCUUUAGAUACCAAUUUGUUGUUUUUAUGUAUAACAACAUAAUAUAAAGUGUAGUGGGUAAGGAAAAACAAAGAGGAAAUUGUAAUGGUGGACUUAUAUUAUUCAUAUGUGAAGCAACACAUUUAUAAAACAUGCAAAACAGAACCGCUAAUAGAUAAGUAAACCACUAACAGGUUAUGCCUAAAAAAAAUAGGAACAAAAUAGAAUCAUCCUAUCAAUUAACAUGAAUUUUAUUUUCCUAAAGAAUAACAUAAAAUCUGAUAUUCUGCUGUUUGAGUUUGUGACACUUCCAACAGUCACAUCUUCAACAAUUCCUUCCAAACUGUGUGAAAGAAACCACCACUUGAUGAAAAAGAAUUUGCGGAAAGGACUAGAAACUUUCCGUACAACUUUAUACUGAAUUUGUUUAAAUUAUGCAAAAAGACUUUCAAGCAGGAUGAUACAAUUUUAGUAUGGAGUCGCCCAAAAAUGAUAUUCAGAAAGAGCAGUUAAGGCGAUCUGCAGCUGACAUUCUCCGGGAUAAAGCUUUAUUGAUUCAUCAUUGUGAUAGUUUUCUUCGUUGAAAAAACCUUAAUAUAGGAACUCACCAAAUGCCCUGUGAUGCUAUUGCACCCGAAUUCUAAAAUAUGAAUGGAUUAAACAAAAACCAAUGAGCACCCAAACACUGUCUGUAUUUGUUUUUGCCUACCCUUACGAGAGAUGUCAAGUUCAAGGUUUCUUCCUUCCAACCAAGGUUAAGUCACAAACCAUAUAUAAUUGCCUUCUUUGUGACGAAAGCAUUAUAGCCAACGGUUUGUCAACCUUCACCCGCCCUACCGUUUAAGCUUUUAGACAGUGUUGGAAUUGGAUAUGCCCCCAGCCUCAUAUCUUCGGCAUCACUCAAAUUCUCAAUUAAAGAUAACAACUGAGAUUCGGCCUUACAAUUUACAAAUGUCCAUAGAGAACCUCUGAAUUCUUUCCUGAAUCAUCACCCCUCUUCCGUGGACCAUUUUUCUCUUUCUAUCUCCCCUUGGCCCCCAAAAACAAAAAAACAAAAAAAAUGAUUCCUUGCAUUUCCCACAUGUCUUGCCUUUAACAUAUUCCUUUCCCGUGCAAGGCAUGAACAGAUGGAUUCCAUUCACAGGUUCUCCAUAUCCAUAAUCCACUUCCUUAAAAACAAAAGCAU